AUGAACGCUAGCUACAGGCUUAACACAUGCAAGUCGAGGGGCAGCAUGGCCUUAGCUUGCUAAGGCCGAUGGCGACCGGCGCACGGGUGAGUAACACGUAUCCAACCUGCCGUCUACUCUUGGACAGCCUUCUGAAAGGAAGAUUAAUACAAGAUGGCAUCAUGAGUCCGCAUGUUCACAUGAUUAAAGGUAUUCCGGUAGACGAUGGGGAUGCGUUCCAUUAGAUAGUAGGCGGGGUAACGGCCCACCUAGUCUUCGAUGGAUAGGGGUUCUGAGAGGAAGGUCCCCCACAUUGGAACUGAGACACGGUCCAAACUCCUACGGGAGGCAGCAGUGAGGAAUAUUGGUCAAUGGGCGAGAGCCUGAACCAGCCAAGUAGCGUGAAGGAUGACUGCCCUAUGGGUUGUAAACUUCUUUUAUAAAGGAAUAAAGUCGGGUAUGGAUACCCGUUUGCAUGUACUUUAUGAAUAAGGAUCGGCUAACUCCGUGCCAGCAGCCGCGGUAAUACGGAGGAUCCGAGCGUUAUCCGGAUUUAUUGGGUUUAAAGGGAGCGUAGAUGGAUGUUUAAGUCAGUUGUGAAAGUUUGCAGCUCAACCGUAAAAUUGCAGUUGAUACUGGAUAUCUUGAGUGCAGUUGAGGCAGGCGGAAUUCGUGGUGUAGCGGUGAAAUGCUUAGAUAUCACGAAGAACUCCGAUUGCGAAGGCAGCCUGCUAAGCUGCAACUGACAUUGAGGCUCGAAAGUGUGGGUAUCAAACAGGAUUAGAUACCCUGGUAGUCCACACGGUAAACGAUGAAUACUCGCUGUUUGCGAUAUACUGCAAGCGGCCAAGCGAAAGCGUUAAGUAUUCCACCUGGGGAGUACGCCGGCAACGGUGAAACUCAAAGGAAUUGACGGGGGCCCGCACAAGCGGAGGAACAUGUGGUUUAAUUCGAUGAUACGCGAGGAACCUUACCCGGGCUUAAAUUGCAGAUGAAUUACGGUGAAAGCCGUAAGCCGCAAGGCAUCUGUGAAGGUGCUGCAUGGUUGUCGUCAGCUCGUGCCGUGAGGUGUCGGCUUAAGUGCCAUAACGAGCGCAACCCUUGUUGUCAGUUACUAACAGGUUCCGCUGAGGACUCUGACAAGACUGCCAUCGUAAGAUGUGAGGAAGGUGGGGAUGACGUCAAAUCAGCACGGCCCUUACGUCCGGGGCUACACACGUGUUACAAUGGGGGGUACAGAGGGCCGCUACCACGCGAGUGGAUGCCAAUCCCCAAAACCUCUCUCAGUUCGGACUGGAGUCUGCAACCCGACUCCACGAAGCUGGAUUCGCUAGUAAUCGCGCAUCAGCCACGGCGCGGUGAAUACGUUCCCGGGCCUUGUACACACCGCCCGUCAAGCCAUGGGAGCCGGGGGUACCUGAAGUGCGUAACCGCGAGGAGCGCCCUAGGGUAAAACUGGUGACUGGGGCU
rnacentral:rRNA from 1 species